rnacentral:rRNA from 1 species
ACGUAGGACGCAAGCGUUAUCCGGAGUUUCUGGGCGUAAAGCGCGGGCAGGCGGCUUGUCAAGUGGGGUGUGAAAGCUCCCAGCUUAACUGGGAGAGGCCAUUCCAAACUGACAGGCUGGAGGGCAGUAGAGGUAGGCGGAAUUCCGGGUGGAGUGGUGAAAUGCGUAGAGAUCCGGAGGAACACCAGAGGCGAAGGCGGCCUACUGGGCUGCACCUGACGCUGAGCCGCGAAAGCCAGGGGAGCGAACGGGA